UCUACAAGAGCAACAAAUGUAGCCAUCAUCAUAGCAAAUGCUUCACCAGCAUCAAAUGAAGGUGCUCCCCACUGAAAAGGGUAUGGAACUCUAAUCCUGCAGAUAAACAGAAGCAAAAGAUGAAGAGAAAAUUAUUUUUCUUGAAAGACAUUACGUUUGGAGACAGUUGCUAGAAUAAUGGUGUUUUGGCCUAGAUGUUUAUUAAAAACAAAAGGUGAGUUGGAAAUCAUUAAAUAGUCCAAAAUUCAACUGAACCCCUAACAAUUACCUCCGGCACAUUAUGAAAAUCUAUCCUGCUCGGACUCUCCGAAAAUGUGGCCGGAUAAGUGUCGGAUCCUCCAAAAGUAGUGCAUUUUUUAAGGAUCCGACACGGGUACGGCUACAUUUUGGAGAGUCCGCGCAACAUAGAUGAAAAUAUUACAACAAUUCAAUAAACAUGUAUUAGAUCAAUGAGUUAGUGCUAUAGCAACAUUAAAAAGAAAGUGAAAGCAAAAAAGAAAUAGUAAAAAAUAUAGCAAUUUUACAACAAACAAAAAAUAAUUUUACAGCGAGAAAAUGAAAUAGCAUAUGAUAUAUGGAAUUAUUUAAAACGUACAGCAAGAUAAAAGGAAGAGAAAAUAGUGCUCCUUCUAGCCCAACUCAAAAAUAUUUGAUACAAGUUCAUCUCUUUACAACCUUCACAACUCACAUUCAUUAUCAACUUUUAAAGUCAGCAAGAUAAAAUAAAAAAAUAAAAAAAAAAAUAAAAUAAAAUAAAAUAAAAAACUUUUAAAGUUGAUGUGAUAAAAAUAUUUCAACAAUUACUUUAAUUUUUUGUUCGAAUAUUACUAAUUAAAUAUAUAAGUCAACUUAACAUCUAAAACUUCUAGCCCAAUCAAAUAUCGUUAAAUGAAACAAGGCAGUAUAUCUUGUUUUAGAUAACAUCGUGGAGAAACGAGGGCCAAAGUGAUAGAAUCUGGAAAGAAGAGGGUUCAGCAGGAAGCAUAAGCUAAUCCAUUUUUUCUUGGGUUUUCUGGAAAACUGAAAACAAUUUUCACCAUCUCCAGUUCUUAUAAGUUUCAGGUUUUGGUUUUUGCAAAAACCAAAUAUGUUAUCUAUUCAAAACGUUUUUUUUUUAUUUGGUUUCUAGGGAAGUGAAGGAGAGUCUUGGAGCAACGGUAAAGUUGUCUCUGUGUGACUUAUAGGUCACGGGUUCGAACUGAAAUCAGCAGAUAUCAGGGUAGCUGCCUACAUUACACCCCCUUGGGGUGCGUCCACCUUCCCCGGAACAUGCGUAAACGCGGGAUGAUUCAUGUACCGGGCUGCUCCUUUUUUGGGUUUCUAGGGAAGUAUGUUGGAAAAUGUUUCCGACCCAACAGUCACCCAGUUAUCUUGGAGUAAAAGCGUCAUUUAGAUGCACUGAUGGAAAAAGCAAGUAGAAAGCAAAAUUCACAUUGACGCUUUAACAAAUACUACUAAACAAAGUGGAAAGCUUUGCCUCUAACAAUAGCAUCAUGUGUCGGGACGAUGAGCCCAUCAGUGGAAAGAUGAAGUGAAGAAGAGAAGUGAAUUUGUUGUGUGCUCAAGAAUAACUAUCAAUCAAUUAUGCCUCAAUUCCAAUUAGUUGGGGUCGGCUAAUAGGAUUUUUUAACCUGACAUCAACCUACCGCAACCCCACUAAUUUAUCCAAGCUUGGGACUGAUUGUACUUUGCUGAGCUCAGCAAUAUGGACUUUGCUCCAAGGAUUAUAGAAAAGAAUACACAUAUAUAUCAAUACCCUUAACAAUUUCCGAAGGUGCAGGAACUAUAGAAAGCAACCCAUGCAGUCUUAAACAUGGAAAUCAGAUUGGUGAAUUUCAGAUAUCCCGCAGUGUUUUUUACCUUGUACAUUUUUUUGUCCUGUUACAUAUAUGCUAAUUAUGCUGUGUGCAAGAACUAAUGGCAACUAGCGAGCAUAGGCAUUUCUUCGUUGUCCCUAAAGGUGAUGGAAAAAAAGCACUAGAACUCAAAUCCCCUGGAAAGUCAUAAAAGAAGAUAACUUACCAGGGAGCACCACUAAUAAGUCCAGCCCGAUCAGUUCUGCAGCUUAUCUGUGUCUUUUGUGGCUUCCCGUUAUAAGCCCCACCCACAGUAAGUAUGUAUGCAUAAAUCCAUACAAUUGCUACCGUGAAAAGAACAGCAAAGCGAUCAAAGAU
rnacentral:lncRNA from 1 species